rnacentral:lncRNA from 1 species
AAAACCACAAAAUAAUGCCUAAAAAGGGAGGAAGGAGCGUAGCUUUCACAUACCUUUGUCUUCACAAAAUUCGAUUAUCAUCCGCUUGCAACAAAAUAAAAAAGCUUGCUUAAGCAAUAGUCAUGGGAGAACCCACAUACACGAAAUACAGAGGUCUGCAAAGAGAGAGGACCCAUCAUUCUGCUUCUUCUUCUCCAAUUGAAAAACCAGCAACAUACACAGACCCACCCAUGGGUUUUCUGUUCUCCUGGAUAGACUUGUAGAAAGCUUCAGUGACUAUCUGAGCCUCAACGACUGUCUAAGCUUGAGCAGCCAUAAACAACCCCUGAACGCUAAAACACACACAGACAAGAACACAAAAACCCAGUAGCUAUGAAAUAGCACAAAACUCAGCAGUAAAAUACCCCAUGAAACCCACCUCCAAAAGCGUAGCGUCUGUACCUCUCCAAACUACCACUAUAACUCCAUUUCUAGCCAUGGGAGUAGCCUGAAAGCUCCAUGAAAUAAGCCGAAACUUCAGCUCAAAACCAGCUGAAAUACUGCCUCAAAAAUGCCAUUAAAAUAGCUCCAGCAUCCUCCAUUAAUCUGGUUGGAGUUCUUGUUCAAGGUCGUCGCCGACACGGUUUUCGUUCAGCAAUUCGGUUCAAUUAGUGAGAGUUUUUUUCGUACAUCUGAUGCCUAUGUUGUUUUGUGCUGAGGUUCUCAUCUACAAAAUAAUAAUGGGUUUUCUAGGUAAAAGGUCCAUUUCUACUUUAUCUACUUCUUUCAUGCUUUAAUUAUUCUCUGUUAAUUGUUUGCCCAGUAACUAGUUUGGAUGUGUCGUUCAAAAUGGAAAACCAUGAAAAAAGAAUUGAGGCAGAUGACGGUGAAUAGUAAAUGCUUAAUAUGUAUCAACACUUAGAAAGAAAACAAACUAGCUAGUGUCAUUUGUCUUCCUUCUGCAUAUGUUUAUUUAUUUCUCUUCUGAGACGCUGAAUUUUUGUAUAAAAGCUGAUUUAGUAGCUUGCCUUCUCAAGGAAGAGGCAAUUUCGUUCUGCCCUUGAAUUGAGCAAAACUAGUUUGGGAUUAAUUUACGAAAAUUAUAGUUUGCUUUGGCGCGCUAUAAUUAUAUCAUCGUAGUUAUAGCUAUGGUAAACGUGAUGUUGUUUUGAUACUUAAUUUCGAAUUAGUUUAAAUAUG